rnacentral:rRNA from 1 species
GUAACGGCGAGCGAAGCGGGAACAGCUCGAGCAGGCAUCUCUGGCGUCGAUCGUCAGCGAAUUGUGGCCGGCAGAGGCGGAUGCACCCGACGCGACCCCGUCGAAGUUGACCUGGAAAGGCACGUCGGAAGGGUGAUAGCCCCGUGCGUGGCGGAUCGCGGAGGGUCGCUACCGUCUUCGGAGAGUCGGGUUGUUUGGGAGUGCAGCCCAAAGUGGGUGGUAAACUCCAUCUAAGCCAAAUAACGGCACGAGACCGAUGCGAACAAGUACCAUGAGGGAAAGGUGAAAAGCACUUUGGAAAGAGAGUUAAAGAGGCCGCGAAACCGUUGGGAGGGAAACGCAUGCAGCCGAACCGGCACGCGUCGAGUUCAGGGGGCUGCGGGGAGUCGCGCGUGCAGACGGCACCCUCGCGGGUCGUCUGCGCGUCCGGGCGCCUCGCACCCCUGCACUCUCGGCGUCGGUGCCGGCCAAGUGCGGUGGGAGCCGGGCGACGAGCGCGCGUCGGGCAGGUAGCGCAACUGCUUCGGCAGGGGCGAACUUAUAGCCGAUCGCGCGGAGCGUCGGGCACCCACCGAGGAGAGUGGUGGCACUUCCACCCCCGUAGCGCAGGCCGCUCGCGGCCGGGGCGCUCUCGUCCGUUCGUCCGCGGCGCCGUGUCACUGCUUGCAGUGCCCGGCGUCGGCGGUUGCUCCGGUUGGGAGGUCGCUCACGCCUUGCGCUGUGGUCGCUUGGCCAGCCGUCGGCUGCAUUCGACCCGUCUUGAAACACGGACCAAGGAGUGCAGCAGUUGCGCGAGUAGUUCGGGUGCAGAAACCCGUCGGAUGCACAAUGAAGGUGAAGGCGGGACGUGUGGCCCGCCGAGGCGAGAGCCGUGCUCGCGCGGCGCAUCGUCGACCGAUCCGUUGCCACGCCGUGGCGGGAUUCGAGUGAGAGCGUUGCUGUUGCGACCCGAAAGAUGGUGAACUAUGCCUGAGUAGGGCGAAGCCAGAGGAAACUCUGGUGGAAGCCCGCAGCGGUUCUGACGUGCAAAUCGAUCGUCAAACUUGGGUAUAGGGGCGAAAGACUAAUCGA